GGAAGGAUGGCUUUGUGGCUAAGGCACUGAACUGGGAUUCAGAGAUCUGGGUUUAAUUCUUGGCUCCUCCA
rnacentral:tRNA from 1 species